UACAAAGAAAUUUUUUCAAAUUUAAAAUAUUUGGGUUCUAUUGUCGGCGGAGUUAUACGGUCGCCAUAACGGCGGAUUGUCCCCCCAUCCGCCAGGUGGCGCGAGUGUCUUCGUGAGGAAGAAAUAUUUGCCAUUUGUUUCCGAGACGUGACUUUAAAGUGUCUUCCAAGUUGAUUGGUGUCGAUCUACAUUUUUAGCCAUUUAAUGCGAUCUGGCUUAUAAUUUCACUUGGCCAAAUGUGAUGACGUGGGUCGAAAUGUCGGCCAUUGUUAGCUGUACGUCUCAUCUCGUGCAGAAACUCUUCAGAGCUAGUUAAGUAAUUUUGUUGAUCAAUCUCCCUGCAAUAAUGUAAUAGGUUUUACUUUUAUUAGUUGAUUUUCAGGUCGGAAAUGGAGAUCCCUUUGCUCAACUGUUGCAAAAAUUUUGAACACGACAAAGUCUGAGCUUCAUGGCUGUAGUAUCAUUUAUGUGGUUUUGUUGCAGCCAGCUGGUGAAAGGUGUGAUCGAGUCAUGGUUGAGUUGCAGCUUCUGCAUGCAGUUUAUUGAGCUGGUGCUAUCCCAAGUGUAACAACUGCAGGAAAACUUCUUGAAUUGCCAGGUGAAGUCUGCGCUUCUUUGUUGCAGUCUAAUGUGCGCAUGGAUUGGUUGCAGUCAUCCAGUGAAAGGUGUGAUUAAAUUGAGCUGUUGCAUGCAGUCUUUGGUGCUGAUGUUGUCCUGGAAUGUGGGAGAGUCUCAUGCUUCAAGUCUUCUGGGAUCAGCCAUAUCUGAGUUGACGCCAGAUCAUGCUACAUUGUGGUUGCCGAAAUGUUGGACAUCUAGUAGAACUGCAAGAAGACUCCUUGAAAUGGUUUAUGUUUACGUAGCAGUGAUGUUGCUGUCCAAUAUGGCAUGUUGUUGCAGCCUAUACUGGUGAAAGAUUUUUUGCAUCGAGUUAUGCUGUUGCUGUUCCUUGGUGCCGGACUGCUGGUGUUGUGCAUAGAAGUUACAUCCAGUUUUAAUUGUUAAUUGUGUCUAUGCAGUUAACCGUUUUUAUGUUGAAAAGGGACAGAAAGGUUCCUUGGUGUUGAAUCGCUGGUGUUGUGCUACAUAAGUUACAUCCAGUAUUUUGUUUAAUUGCUAUUUGCGUCUACGAAGUUAACCGUUUAUAUGUUGAGAAUGAAA
rnacentral:lncRNA from 1 species